UACGUAGGUCCCGAGCGUCGUCCGGAUUUAUUGGGCGUAAAGCGAGCGCAGGUGGUUUAUUAAGUCUGGUGUAAAAGGCAGUGGCUCAACCAUUGUAUGCAUUGGAAACUGGUAGACUUGAGUGCAGGAGAGGAGAGUGGAAUUCCAUGUGUAGCGGUGAAAUGCGUAAAUAUAUGGAGGAACACCGGUGGCGAAAGCGGCUCUCUGGCCUGUAACUGACACUGAGGCUCGAAAGCGUGGGGAGCAAACAGG
rnacentral:rRNA from 1 species